AGCCAUUUAUCGGCCCCUCAGCGCACGGAGCCGCCCAGGCCCGCCCGCUCCCCGCACGCUCCGACGCCAUCGCCGCCGGCACGCGCUUCCCGCCCACCCCCGCGCGCCUAUCGCCCCGCCCACUCACCGCCCCGCGCCGGCACGCCCCCUCCCGUCACGCGCGGCAGCGUGUCCCCCAUGUUUAGAGCGGAAAAUGGCGGCGCCUGAGCGGCGGUUGUGCCGGUCGGUGCGUUGGCAGGCCGGGAGCUGAAUAAAAGGGUACACCGGCGGUGGAAAGAGCAUACGUGCCUUCGUGGGAAGGCGCAGGGUAAUCCAAUGGCUUUUCAAAAUGGAAUGGCGCUAUUUCCAUAAGGCUCGGAUACGGCAUGGCUUCCUGCCUUCCUGUUGGCUGGAAUCCUGCUGCUCUGCGCCGCAGACCUCGUAUCGUUUGCCAGCUCAGAGGCAGAUUUUGGAAGCCAGAAGAAAUGAGUUCUCUUCCCGCUGCUGUCGUGACGUGACAAGCACAAGCAGCAGAUGGAUCUCUACAGGAAGCACUAAGCACAGCAGCAAAUACCUGUUUUCCAAUGCAUCCCCUUAAAAAGAAACAAUCAACUUCUAUUCAAAAAAUCGACAGAGAAACAAGGAACUACAGGAAAUGCCCUUCUCAGUAAAUGAAGAAAAGAAAGAAGAAGAAGAAGCAAAACCAUCAUUUUCUUAACAGCA
rnacentral:lncRNA from 1 species